GGAUUAAAAUGUAUUAUAGGAAGACGCCGAAUCACCCCGCUGCUGACAGGCAGGUCUGCCCAUGCCCUACCGAGGUCCCCAGUCGCACGGAACACACCGAAUCACCCUGCUGCAGACAGGCAGCCACCUGGUUCCACACUACAAAGACACAGAGGACACCAGACAACCAGACCAAGAAUGCCUGGUACAUACCACACAUUUGAUAAGUACUGCUGACUAAUUGACAGUCCAGUAUCCUCCUACUUGGAAAGUUGUUGACUUGUAGUUUAUUCUUGAAAAAGGGAAGAUGGAUGUGGUGAAAAAGACUUUUAAAAUUUUUUCCUCAAGUUUGUUUUAAAGAUAGAACCACAUGAGAGGAUUAAAAAUGGUGGUAUAUACCAGCAGCAAAAUACAGCCUCUCCAGGACCUGGAAUCAAGACAUCUGGAAAACAACAACUUGGCAAAGAGAAAAAAAAAGAAGUAGAUUUCUGGAAAUUGGGAGGGAGUUGUCAGGAAGCUACUAGAAGCUGGAGAAACAGAGCACAAUGACAAGAAAAGAACAAAGCAGUUUGGAAAGCUCAUCCCAGCUCCUGUGGAGAGGCACCUGUCUCCACUGACACCAGGGUUAACUACUUCCACUGUAGGUGAUGAAAUAUAUAAGGCUCCACUUCAAAUGUUGGCACUGCUAUGAGCAUAGUCUUUUCCCCUUCAACUCAGAAUUAAAACUUUGAUUCUUGUCUUAUAUUCCAGUCCUAGUAGUUUCCACUGCAGAAGUUAUCUGAAGACAGUCUUAUGCUUUCUAGCAGUGGUCUGUGACCAGCCUCUAUCUUCUCCAUGAACACUACGAUGGAUUUAGU
rnacentral:lncRNA from 1 species